ensembl:lncRNA
CACCCCGCUCCGCUGCACACCGCUGAGCGUGGCCUCCCCGAAGGCGCAGGGCCAGGAGCUGCACAAGGCGCCCGAUGCCCGGCGCAAGAGCCUGCGGCCCUUCUCCAUCACCACGGCCCUCAACACGCUGAACCGCAUGGUGCACGCCCCUGCCGACCGCCCCGCGCUGCGCAUCAGCUCCCCGGUGCUCAUCAGCUCCAGCAACCCCAGCGUGGCCGCUGCCGGCAGUGAGGAUCCGCCCCGCGGGACCCCCGCCCAGGUCAGUGCAUCCUACUAUCCUGCUCCAGGACCACUGAGGCACUCGGCAGCCAUUGUCACUCUGCCCCACCUGCAGCAUCACCUCUCAGCCAACCUGAAACCGAGCGUGCCCGACUCGAAGCUGCCCUCGCUGUACGCCUCGUGGACGCUGUCGGCCUCCUCAGUGUCCUCCCAGGGCAGCGCAUCAGAGAGCGCUCAGCGCCAGAGCCGUGCGCUGAAGGCAGCGCUGCCCGCGGGGCACACAGCUCUGCGGCGCGGCCGCGGCUGCACCAGGAAGAGUGAGUGCGGGUGGGCGCUGUGAUAUGGGCAGCGCAGCCGCGCUUGGGAUGGGUGCAGGCAUCCCUGAGGUGCUGCCAACUGCUGCUAUGGGGAGCUGCGAGCCCUGGCUGUGCAAACAGCGCUGGGAGCUGCGUUAGGUUUGGUCCACAGGAGAGAGGUUUGGGGAUUGUUGCAGAGGACCUGAGAGCUCUGCGUGCACAGGCAGUUACAGGAGGUUAAAUUAAGGUAUUAUCAGGAGUUAUCAAGAAAGAAGCUCAGAACAAAAGGGUAAAACUCUGCAGUGCCAUUGUAGGAGUGCUGGUGAGCUCAUAUCCUGAAUACUUCUCAUAUUCUGAUAACUCAAAGAGAAUAGAGUAAAAUUAGAAAUAAGCAUAGGAAUGAUGAGCAAGAGAAUAGAAUAAUUCUAUUUCAGGAGCCAAGUUUUACAGCAUGGAAAUAUCCAAGGUGCGUGAAGUCAUGAAUAGGCUGCAGGUGGAAAGGUACGCUGCCUCGGAACAGAUUUCUGAAUGUGUUGGAGCAGCCACAGCACGCUUCCAGGUUGGGGUGCAGAUGGGCAGCGAUGCUGGCUGGUUCAUUUGCAAGAGCCACUGUCAGAGGCUUUAGACUUAAAAGCUAUUUUGCUGUAGAGAACCUCACGCACCUGUGGUGGCUCUUAUUAAAAAAUCAAUCUUGUAAACAGCGAGGCACUGCCAAGGAAAUUAAGU